rnacentral:lncRNA from 1 species
GUUCUUAGCUUAAAACCUUAUCCUCCAUUUCGAAUUUGAAUUUGUUGAAAUUUCAUCCCGAAUUUUCCUACUAUUUUCUUCCCUAGUUUAAUUUUAUAAAUACCUUUAUCUUUCUCUUUGUGAGGGGGGGGGGGGGAGUGAGUGAGAGGGUUAUGAAAAUGGGAAAAAGUAGAGAAAAUUAUUAGUUAUAGACAUUUAUAUAUGAAUACUAGGAAAGAGGUUUAAAAAUAGAUUGAAAAUUCAGAUUUUACUCCCUCUGUUUACUGGUUUGCUUCUAUUUUCUUUAUCGAACUUAUCGGAGUUCUGUUUCGAUGGUGGAAGCUUGUUGUCUCGAUUAAGCUGCUCGAAAAAAGGUAAUAGUUCCUUCUUCUCUUACGUUAAUCGUUGUGUUAUAUGUUGAACUUAUCUCGGUUAGAAAAUCCAAACAUUUAAAUGUGCAUUUAUUUUCCUUACACAGCAAAGUCAUUUAGCCGAAUCAUUCUUAAUAUGCGAGUUCAGUGGUCUCUAUAUGGUUAUUUUAAUGAAGUUGAAGAAUUGUUCCUUUACAACUGUAACAUAUCAGUGGAUUAGAAUGUUUAAGUGGUCCAUUUUAAUAGUCUUAUGAUGUAUUAAUGUAUAUCGUCUAUGUGUAUAUGUUUAUAUCAUAUGUUAUGACUAUCACUUUAUUUUUCUAUAGUAUGUAUCUUGAAGAACAGACUCAAGCUUGAUUAAAAUCAUUAAUUGUCAUAUUCUUCUAUAAUUUCUUGGGAUAAUGCACAAGUACCCCCUCAACCUAUGCCCGAAAUCCCAGAGACACACUUAUACUAUACUAAGGUCCUAUUACCCCCCUGAACUUAUUUUAUAAGUAAUUUUAUACCCCUUUUUAGCCUAUGUGGCACAGGUUUGGAACAAAAAGUCAACCAUUGUUGGGCCCAGAAGAUAGUGCCACGUAGGCCGAAAAGGGGUAAAAAAUUAUUAAUAAAAUAAUUUCAGGAGGGUAAUAGGACCUUAGUAUAGUAUAAGUGUGUCUCUGAGAUUUCGGGCAUAGGUUGAGGGGGUACUUGGACAUUAUUCCUAAUUUCUUUUUUAUGCUUUGAGUGUAGUCUUCAAAUCAAAGUUUGUAAUAUGGGUUCUUCAUUUUUCUUAUGUGUUCAACUUCCUAGAAUGAUGGAAAUAAAUGUUUUAUAUUUGAAACAAGUUGCUUAGUAGAUUAAAGGGUUGGCUUUGUUAAUGAUAAGUUUUAGUGUUACUUCUUGUUUAUAUUGAGAUCCUUCAUUGCUUUUAAUACUAUUUAGUUAUGCUACUUGAUUGUUUAAACCACAUCUUUGCUAGAUGUUGACGAAAUUGAGACUAACUAAUUUGUUUAUUUCAUUUUUGUUGCAUGUGAUACCACCCAGUCCUCUUGGACUCCAAUCUUCUUCCCUCAUAUUCCAGAGGGGCCAUAAAGGCCCCAAAUCCCCUUUUUCCUUCGACUCAGCCCUCUCGGCAAGCUGCAAAACUGAUUUACAUGUUGAGGUCGAUAAAUGUAGGCUGGAAAUUAAUUUUGCAGGUCUCAGAAAAGCCCAAAAGAAGGUAGUAUAUAUGAAGUAUACAAUUGUAUACACAAGUAUACAUGGAAAGAAUCGUUAAAUAUAGGUAUGAGCUAACAAACAGGUGGUGGAAGUCUGAAAUGGGCAACGUACAUUCAACAUACAUCCCAAUGUACAAGAAAACGAGUCGAAAUAUGUAUAGUACACAUCAUAUAUGUUUGGUGUAUACACAGAUUUUAAGUGUGGAAAAGAAAGAAUAUAGGCCAAAAACCCAAGGAAAUUUCCAGCAGGUCCAUUAGUAGGAAUUUGGGCAAAAGGCCCAAAAUUGGCAUCUCCCUCCUCCCUAUUUAUAAGUUAUUAUAUGAGAAAUUUACAUAAAUAUACUAUAAUAAAAAAUAUUUACCAUUUAUAGCAAUAAUAUUUCUUUUUCAUUUGA